rnacentral:rRNA from 1 species
AUGAAAAGAAUAGUAAGAGCAUACGAUGGAUGCCUUGACACAAAAUACUGAUGAAGGACGUGGUAAUCUGCGAUAAGCUUCGGGAAGCUGAUACACAAGCGUUAUAUCCGAAGAUUUCCGAAUGGGGAAACCCGGCUAGAGUUAUGUCUAGUCACUCUUGUCUGAAUAUAUAGGACAGGUAGAAGGUACCCGGUGAACUGAAACAUCUUAGUAACCGGAGGAAGAGAAAAUAAGAAUGAUUCUCCUAGUAGUGGCGAGCGAACGGGGAAGAGACUAAACCUUAUAUGUUUCCGUCUUUUAGAAGACGGAUAAGCUGACAGGCGAAAAUAUAUAAGGGGUUGCAAGAAAUCUUAUGUCAUGAAUAUUACGAUAAUUGGUGUUAAUUUAACUACGGUUAGAUUGCAGCGAUUAGAGUUAUAUUUAUGAAUGAUUAAGGACUGUCAUCCUGAUCGUAAUUUCGCUGUAUUAGUAGAAGGUUUUGGAAAGAACCGCCAAAGAACGUGAAAGCCGUGUAUACGAAAAUGCAGUUUGAACUUAUAUAGAGGUUUCUUAAGUAGGUCGGGGCACGUGCAAUCCUGACUGAAUCUGGGAGGUCCACCUCCCAAGUCUAAAUAUAUUUUGUGAUCGAUAGCGAACCAGUACCGCGAGGGAAAGGUAAAAAGAACCCCGAGAGGGGAGUGAAAUAGAUCCUGAAGUCGUAUGCUUACAAGGAGUCGGAGCCUGCUUUAUGCGGGUGACGGCGUGCUUUUUGUAGAACGAUCCAACGAGUUAAUUUUGUCGGCUUGGUUAAGUCAUUUGACGGAGCCAUAGUGAAAGCGAGCCUUAAUAGGGCGUAGGGGUCUCAUCCCUGCCAAAAGUUGUAUUGCGAGUUUAAAUCAGCUGCCUGAAACGGCGGGAAAUUUUUGAAAAGUAUCAACCUAGAUACUUAGAAAAAAUUUAACACCGUUAUCAGACGUUGAUUUCAGCUCUCAUAACCAUCUUUUGGUAGAGACGAGACCCCAAAGGUCGGCAGGAUUAGACACGAAACUAAGUGACCUAACCAUGGGCAGGUUGAAGCGGCGGUAAAACGCCGUGGAGGACCGAACCAGGGCACGCUGUAAAGUGCUUGGAUGACCUGUGGUUAGCGGUGAAAUGCCAAUCGAACUUAGAAAUAGCUUGUUCUCCUCGAAAUAGCUUUAGGGCUAGCGUGACGUGGUAGCAAGUGGGGGUAGAGCUCUGUUUACGAUUGGGGUCCGCAAGGAUACCCACCGUUGACAAACUACGAAUACCAUUUGUGAAAUCGUUGCAGUCAGAACCUGGGGGCUAAGCUCCAGGCUCGAAAGGGAAACAGCCCAGAUCGCCAUCUAAGGUCCCUAAGUCUAUGCUAAGUGGGAAACGAGGUGGAAUUUCUUAAACAAUGAGGAUGUUGGCUUAGAAGCAGCCAUUCAUUUAAAGAGUGCGUAACAGCUCACUCAUCAAGAGAUUCUGCGCGGAAAAUGUAACGGGGCUAAGCAUAGCACCGAAGAUGCGAAUUGCAGUUUACUGCAGUGGUAGAGGAGCGUUCUUGUCAGCGUUGAAGUUGGACUGCGAGGUCUGGUGGAGCGGCAAGAAGUGAGAAUGUUGGAAUUAGUAACUAUUCGGGAAGUGAGAAUCUUCCCCGCCGAAAGAGUCAGGUUUCCUGGGCGAUGAUCGUCAUCCCAGGGUUAGUCGGUCCUAAGCCGAGGCGAAUAGCGUAGGCGAUGGACAACGGGUUAAUAUUCCCGUACCGGUGUGAGUGUUGUAGGAAGUGCGCGGCGUGGUAGUUCGAGCGGUUUAUGGUUAUAACCGUUUAACUGUCUAGACUUCGGUCGAAGCAGGAAUAAAACCGUUUCUAAGAAAUGGAAUUUGAAUGACCCAUGCUGACCAGAAAAGCUUUCCUAUGUUAAUAGCUCACUCCGCCCGUACCGCAAACCAACACAGGUACUCAGGUCGAGUAGACCAAGGCGUUCGAGAGAACCUUCGUUAAGGAACUCGGCAACAAAAGCGGCCGUAACUUCGGGAUAAGGCCUGCCCCGUCACAUUGUUUACAAUGCGACGAAGCAAAUGAAGUUUUGUUGUCAGUUUAAGAACGAUUCAUGUUAAUUAUUUCAUAUGAUAUCUAUCGUUGAGAAGACACAAUAUAAUUGCUCUUAACUGAUGUAACUUCGUCAAUAACGUUGUAAAUAGCGUGACGGGGCCGCAGUUAAUGAGCCCACGCGACUGUUUACCAAAAACACAGGUCUCUGCUAACACGAAAGUGGAUGUAUAGGGGCUGACGCCUGCCCAGUGCCGGAAGGUUAAGGAAGAGAGUUCACGCUUUCGACUGAAGCCCCGGUGAACGGCGGCGGUAACUAUAACCGUCCUAAGGUAGCGAAAUUCCUUGUCGGGUAAGUUCCGACCCGCACGAAUGGCGUAACGAUGUGGGCACUGUCUCAACGAAGGACUCGGUGAAAGUGCAUUGGCGGUAAAGAUGCCGUCUGUCCGCAUCAGGACGAGAAGACCCCGUGGAGCUUUACUACAGCUUGGCAUUGCAUUAGGCUGCGGCUUGUGCAGGAUAGGUGGGAGACUUUGAAGCAGAUCCGCUAGGAUUUGUGGAGUCACCCGUGAAAUACCACCCCUGCCGCCGUUUGAUGCUUACCUGGACCUCAUUUUGCAAAGCAAUUUGAAGGAUUCCAGCGUAGCUAAUUUAAGUAAGUAACACAUAUAUAUAACGGUUAAUCGUAAUUUUUUAUCAAACCUUAUGUUUUAUUUAUUCAUUUAGAUAUACGUGAUUUGAAUUUGAUUUGUAGAAUCAGGUUCAGGGACCGUGUCUGGUGGGUAGUUUAACUGGGGCGGUUGCCUCCCAAAGAGUAGCGGAGGCGUUCAAAGGUCGGCUAACCUCGGAUGGAAAUCGAGGCUAUAGUGCAAGCGCAGAAGCCGGCUUGACUGUGAGACUGACAAGUCAAACAGAUACGAAAGUAGGAGCUAGUUGUCCGCUGUCCGUACAUUCGUACAUGAGAGUGGUAUCGGCAGCGCUUUCGGAUAAAAGUUACCCCGGGGAUAACAGGCUUAUAGCGCCCAAUAGUUCACAUAGACGGCGCUGUUUGGCACCUCGAUGUCGGCUCAUCACAUCCUGGGGCCGGAGAAGGUCCCAAGGGUUCGGCUGUUCGCCGAUUAAAGUGGUACGCGAGCUGGGUUCAGAACGUCGUAAGACAGUUCGGUUUAUAUCCGAUGUGGACGAAAGGAAACUUGAGAGAAUUUGCUCCUAGUACGAGAGGACCGGAGUGAACGAACCUCUGGUGUAUCAAUUGUCGCACCUGCGGCAUUGUUGAGUAGCUAUGUUCGGUUGUGAUAAGUGCUGAAAGCAUCUAAAGCACGAAGCCAUACUCAAGAUUAGGUUUCCCUAUGAGAUCCCGGAAAGACUAUCCGGUUGAUAGGCGCAAGGUGUACGCACUGCAAAGUGUUUAGCCGAAGCGUACUAAUAGAUCCAUUGUCUUUUCAU